rnacentral:lncRNA from 1 species
AGUGUUCCUAAAUGUAACUGAGCUCAUCAAAGGGAUGCCUGUUCCCAUGUUCAGACAUACCAGAAGGUAGUUUUGCUAAGUCACAACAAUCAAGAUUGGAAGAAGAGGUUGCUCCGGGAUCCCCUUUCUCAAUAACAGAAGAAAGAGAGUUGCCAGAAGGAAUUUCCACUUCAUCCCUAGAAGUUGUGCCAGAGAACUUGAACGGUUCUGCCAUUCUCCCAACAUUUGAAAACUUCACUAAAAAACGGAAAAGAAAAUAUGAGCUUAGGUACAGAAAGCGUCCGCUUAAUUCAGAAAAUGCAAAGAAAGCACCGGAUUGCCUAAUAAAACUUUUAAACCAGAUGCAACUGUUCAGACUCAAUAAACUAGAGCGCUUUCAAAAUUUGGUUCUUCAAGAGUUGAGCAGUCUUAAGCAGGAUAUUCAGGCCCUGGAACACCUUGAGAAGGAGGUUCUGGAAUUCUGGGGGAAACAGUCUGCUGAUCUGCAGUCUUUCUGUGAUCUGCAAGUGCUGAGGUACUUUGAAAGGUGUUCUUUCUAGAAGAAUCUUGGUUGAAGUAUGAGGUUCAAUUCAACUCAGACUUCAUAAGAAAGCCAAAGCCUGGUUUUAUGAUUGCAGCCCUCAGCCUGAGCUGCCUGAAGACGAAGAGAAAGAGCAAGGUUAUUGUUGGCUCAGGCCUUGUUAGCCAGACUUCUGUGCUCUGUACGCAAUUUCCUCCCCUCCAAACAUCAUCCCUGGGAACUGCUGAGUUCGGAUAGAAUAUAUGUUGGUAGUUUGCAAUUGGGUUAUUAUCCAUUUGUUCAUAAAAAUUAACCUUUUGUAUUAAAAUUUGGUCAGAUAGUAUUAAUAGAAAGUUCAGGAUGUUAAACAACUUGGAGUGGUGUUGCUUUUUUU